GCACAAAAACACUGCUUUCAGCCCCAGCUGGCUGUGAAGAAAAUAUAGACAGAGGUAAAACAAAGGCAAAUAAGUUGCAGGACUGAGAUUACAUUUGCGAAGGUUGGCCACCUGGUGAGACCCAACAGUCUGCUUUGCAACCCUGGACCCGGUGUGGUUUGGGGAUGCUGAAGAAGCCACAGGCAGCCGGCCUGGACUGAAAUACCUCCCAAGAGCAGAAGCAAGUUGGAAAUUUUUACAGCGUAUCUCUGGACAGUCUGUGCACAGAAUAACCUCCCAUCCGUCUCUCUCUGUCUCUCCUACCCCCCGGGCCUGGCAAGCCCAGGAAGCAUGUUUGCUUGCCUAAAGCAAAAUAGCCUAGAUAAUAUCAUAAAUACACAAGAAGUACAAAUAGGACUCUGCAAGCGGAUCAGUGGACUUCAAAUCCUUUGGAACUUUUAAAGAAUAGAUUUCUGUGGAAUAGGACUUCCAUGUUUCCAGGCCCUGAAACAGCUUUGGGAUGGCUUGUGAGACACACAAUCACCUUGUUAAAAUCAAGACAGUCCCAAAAAUACACAACCCUGCUUGAAUUACCAUUUACUAAUUAUAUUAUGCUAGAUACUUUAAUUACCUGUGUCUGUCUUUCUGUGACCAUAAUGUGACUUCUGUUCUCCAGUACUUGCCUCCCCAUCACCACAUAAACACACUACUGUCUAUGAAUUCCAUAAAUAUAUGUUCACUUUGCAAAUGUAAGUUUGCAAAUAUGUUCUGAAGCUAAUUUUCUCUGUUUAUCCCACUUCCAUUUUUUGUCACUGUGUUCCACACAUACAUUGUUGUUAUGCUGGGGAAACAAUGUGACAAUUGGGUUUUAACUUCCCCUCUCAUUCAAAAUUACAAUUGAUUGGACAACUUAGAUAUACACUGUUGUCAAGAAUGACUACCUUCAACAUUUUAUUACUGAACAUUAAUUUAUAUUUUUUUAAAAAAAAAAACAAAAACCUAAAGAUUGGAGCUGUGGAUAAAUUAUUUAAAUUUACUUGGUUUGGUACUCUGUAUGGUAGCUGUAUUGUAAAUGCUGAUCUGGCAUUAACUAGAAACCAAGCAGAGAAGAAAAAUUUAGCCAAUGACAUAAGGAACAAUGUCUCAACUGUACAAAACAAGGCUGACAUUCCAUCUAGGGGUACUAGUGAUAUCAUAAACCACUCAAGUGAAACUUGAGUCAUUUAUUAAUGUCAUUAAAACCCUGUGAUGGAAUUACAGCCGUAUAAGCCUCUUUCUAAGACGUUUCCAGCAUUCAAAAAAAUGGAAAAGGACAUUUUUAAAAAAUUUAAGAGCAAAUUUUAAAAAUGUCAUGAAGAUAAGCAGCUGUAUCAUUCUAAACUUCAGGAUGGCUGUACUCCAAAGGAUUUUCUCACUGUCAUGAGAUUUGUUAUAAUGACAGCCAAAUGUACUACUGUAGAUUUUAAGUUGUGUUUUACCAGUUUGCAAGGGCCAGAUACUAAACUUGCUUGAAGGAGAUUUAAUAGGAAAGCCAUACACCUCUUUAUUUGACAGCUAAAGCCUAAAAACAUCCUAUCUCCUUUUCUGCACUCUCUCUUUUUCUCUUCAUUCCCAAUCUCAGAUUAAAAGAAACCCUCUAGUUCCUCCUGGGUAAUCAAGAAGACAGUAUUAGACUUUUUAAAUUCAUCUUGGUAUUCAGCUUUCACCACAGUUCAAGGUUAGGUUUGAGAUUCUUGUCUCACAAUUUAUUUUUUAAACCUUCAACUCAUAUCCCUCCUGCCCUGAACAAUCCUGCAGAUGAUAGAAGCAAUGCAGUCAUACACCCUCCCUAUUCAAAGAGUUUGUUUCAGUGAACAGUUACACUUCAUGGGCUACUGAUAUAAGUGGCUUAAUGGGAACUUUUACAGAUUUCCAAUGGAAUUCAGAUUUAUUAAAGUAGAGUAAGGCUUUACGUGUUUCACUAUUAAAAGGAAACUGGAAUUGCAUUUGUCUUAAUGUAAAAUUAUCACCUUUUCUAACCUGUCAUCUCAUACAAUAUAAGGUGUGAAGCUGGUACUACUGCACUACAGUAAAAAAUGUAAAGGCCACACAAGCAAAUUUAGCAAAGGGAUGGGUGUGACAAUAUAACUGACUGGUGAGUGUGUUUUACAGGUGCCAAUCUGUAGAGAAUUCCUGGUGUGUUAGCCAAAAGGGCAGCCACUGCCAGGCCCUCUCAGAGGUCCAGAGAGGCUUGGGCCAUUUCCAGCUUUUGAGGGCCCAGCCAUAAUAAAAAUAAAAAAUGACGACACAUGAAAACAAAAUAAGGCACCAAAAAAAGAGUGAGUCAUAAUUUGAAUAUUUUUUAUUUUAAAAAUGCUUUUCUAGCCUUUUUCUGUGCAAAUGCACUAAUUAUUGAGGAAAAAUCUAGCUUUCGUGCAAUAUCACAGUUGAUAUUAAGCAUUGCGAGCCCAUUCAAAUGCUCUUGUCCCAUAGUUGAACGGUGAUAGUUCUUCACUUGCUUCAACACAUUGAAGGUGUGUUCACCUGAAGCCACUGAUGCAGGCACGCUGACAAAAAUACACAACAUGUAGCCAACCAUAUUUGAAAUGUUCUGCUGUAAAUAAGUAGCUUAUCCACACUUGAAAUGCUCUACUGUAAAUAAGUAGCCUAUUUACACCUGAAAUGUUCUAAAGUAAAUAUGUAGCCUAUCCACACUUGAAAUAUUCUACUGUAAAUAAGUAGCUUAUCUACACUUGAAAUCUUCUACUGUAUAUAUGUACAUAAAUGCUGAAUGGUACACAAAUGCUGGAAAGACUUAAAACAAAUUAAGAACACAAAAUGAAACAGUCAGACUAGUUAUUAUCCUUAUCACUGAAUCAAACCUCAAGCACACAAGGUAUAAUAUAACAGGCUGAGCUGAAGACAAAGGGAUGACAUAUACAUAGUAAACACAGACACAGAUACAGACAGAGGGAUAACGUCAAAAUUUCAAAUUUGUGUGUCCUCACGAAACUCACCGUACAAGAGUUCCUCACAAAUUUUCACCUUGAAUCUGGGCCUAUAGACUAUGAAAGCCGAUGAUGAUGGCCAAGCUACCAACCUAGGGCUCAACCUACCAACCAGUCACCUCUUUUAGCUACCAUAUGAAGAUAAUAAUGAGGAAUUCUCACACAUAAAUAAUUCCUUAAUCAACUAGAUGCAAAACUAUAAAGACACGAAAACGUAACAAUUCUCUACCUUUCAACACACACUUGAUCCAGCACCAGCCACUAGUAGUGGUUUGUUUAUAUAAUCAGCUGAUCUGAGAGGAUACGGUCUAAUCUUGUGUUCAUCACGGUCUAAUCUUGUGCCAUCGGAACCAAUAUAUUUUUAUUAAUAGUUAUGAACAUUUUAAACUCUUGAAUAUGGCAAAAUCUAUAUCAGUUAACAAAAACAUUAUGUCUUUUACCAAA